rnacentral:rRNA from 1 species
GAUGAACGCUGGCGGCGUGCCUAAUACAUGCAAGUCGAGCGAACGGACGAGAAGCUUGCUUCUCUGAUGUUAGCGGCGGACGGGUGAGUAACACGUGGAUAACCUACCUAUAAGACUGGGAUAACUUCGGGAAACCGGAGCUAAUACCGGAUGAUAUUUUGAACCGCAUGGUUCAAAAGUGAAAGACGGUCUUGCUGUCACUUAUAGAUGGAUCCGCGCUGCAUUAGCUAGUUGGUAAGGUAACGGCUUACCAAGGCAACGAUGCAUAGCCGACCGGAGAGGGUGAUCGGCCACACUGGAACUGGGACACGGUCCAGACUCCUACGGGAGGCAGCGUUAGGGAAUCUUCCGCAAUGGGCGAAAUCCUGACGGAGCAACGCCGCGUGAGUGAUGAAGGUCUUCGGAUCUUAAAACUCUGUUAUUAGGGAAGAACAUAUGUGUAAGUAACUGUGCACAUCUUGACGGUACCUAAUCAGAAAGCCACGGCUAACUACGUG